rnacentral:rRNA from 1 species
UACAGAGGUCUCAAGCGUUGUUCGGAUUCAUUGGGCGUAAAGGGUGCGUAGGCGGCGCGGUAAGUCGGGUGUGAAAUCUCGGAGCUUAACUCCGAAACUGCAUUCGAUACUGCCGUGCUUGAGGACUGGAGAGGAGACUGGAAUUUACGGUGUAGCGGUGAAAUGCGUAGAUAAUCGUAAGGAAGACCAGUGGCGAAGGCGGGUCUCUGGACAGUUCCUGACGCUGGAGGCACGAAGGCCAGGGGAGCAAAACGGG